ACUUCUGGUGAGAGAAAGCUGAGCAGAAUGGAUCUAAUCUGAUUCCUCCACCCAGAAGCCCUUAAAAUGCAGCUUUGUUUUAAGCCUUCUUGAAGAUUUGGGCUAGAUCUAGAAAAGAACCUCACCACGGAGGAUGUGCAAAGUACAACACGUGACCCCGGAGACGGAAGCUCUUCUCUACCUCCGUAAAGAUGAUCUCUGAUGAACAGACAUGAUCAUGCCUGGAGAACAGGGAUGGACAGUCCCGCUUCUGAAAGACCCUGUCUGGCUGAUGAUUCAUGGUGCGCCGGGCAGACCCCAGGCCAAGAGACCCCACCCACAGUACCUGAGUGCUCAGCUGGGAACCAGACCAGACCUCAAAACAGGUUCCCAAGGUUACCACCCAACCCUGCCAACUUUCGCACCCCGCAAGGAGCAAGACCCCGCCCGCUCACCACCUGCCUGUGCAGCCAACGGGCCUCGCUGAGCUGCCCUGGGCCGCUCCCUCCAUUCACACAGUUGGCCCUCCCUCUCCCUGCCUCCCUUCGCCUACCCCACGAACUACUUCAUCCCUCUGGGCCGGCACUGUAGAAGCCCCAUUGUUCACAUCGACCUCCCAAUUAUCUCCUCUUUCCCUCUCCCUCUGCUCCUGCCCAGACCAGCCCCCCAGCAUUGACCUGGAUGCCUGCCACAGCCUCCUCCCUGGUCUCCGGCCUCCCACCUCUGCUCCUCGGUCUCCUCUACCCAGCCAGUAACUGCAGAGAGCACUAAAGCACAGUCCUGGCAUCUCACCCCCUUAACCCUGGCCACGGCUUCCCAGUGCCUCCAAGAUAAAGCACCAACACCUGAGGACAGCAGCUUGUUUUGAGAGUCCCCUCCAUUGAAACACGCACAUCUAAUUUGUCCUUCAGUUCGCUGGACUCCACGCUGAACGUGCCAUGCUCCAUUGCCCCGUGAGUAACUCCAUGCUCUUGCCGGUUUCACACGGCCUCUCAGAGCUGGAGCCUUUGUUCAGGAGCCCUGGGCAGCUUUCAGGAAGCUCUUGGGCUCAUCAGCUUCCUCUGGCUGAAGCCGCCCCAGUGGAAUCAUGGGGAUUUCUUACUUUGAAGGUGGGGCCACCCGCAGACUGUAACCGGCUGGUUCAAGAUCAAGGACUUCCCCAGGCCACCUGCCUCAGAGGCAAGAAAGGCUCAGCUGAGUCCCAGACACUCCUCGCUGUGGCCCCUCCUUCCUCCCUGCUGGGCAGGCCCCCCUCAAUUCUGUUUGCCAGCAGGGCCUAGUAACACUGAAAGACGAAAAGGGAAAUAAAAUAAACACAAUUAAUAGGCUAAAGGUUACUGAAUAAAGUGGCAGCAGUAAAUAAAUUGACUACUGUGCAAAUACAAAGACAUGAAGACAUGAAACCCCUGCUCUAAAUGACCACUCACCAAGAGCAAGGCCUGGGCUGGAGGCAGGGAGCACCUCCCUAAGGAGCACUCCCUCUUUCCCGGAGUGAGUCCUCCUUCUAGAUGGAAUUCAGUCCGGGUUCCUCUUGAGCCACAGUCCCUGUUGGGGCCUAUCUCAGUGGACUCAAGAUCCUGAACUUCUUCCAGAUUGCUGACUACACAUUUGAGUCACCCAGAGAUUAAAAGAAAAAACAAAUAAUUUCCCAGUGAUCAGGAGUAAAUCAGCUGGGGCAGGGUUGGUGCUAUGAAUGACCACACUGAUUUGUACACUUCACUGAUUUGUAGUGUUUGCUAUUUCCGUCGUGUAAAUACUGCCAACAUGGACAAUCUUCAGUUGCUAAUGGUUUACUAACUGGCUUGUAAAUGAAUUCAUUCAGUAUUCAAGAAAAUGGCACUACAUUUAG
rnacentral:lncRNA from 10 species